CUGCAUCUAGAAGCUUUGCAUAAACAAAUAAUGGUGGCACAUGGCUUUGAAAAUUGAACACGGUUUUCACCCACCAAACUUUGAUGAACACAGUUUUAAAGAAGUUUUGAUACCCACGGCUUUGACUUUCUUGGCCAUCAUUUUGCUAUAAAUACAAGUGCAAAUGAAGAGCUUAUUCAUUCCAUUAUUCAGAGAGCAACUUAGGGAGUCGAGAGAGAAUUCAAGAGCUUGCAUUUAUAAGCUCUUAUUACAGUGAUUGAGAGAGUUUGGCUGUAUUGGAGUUUUUGGAAAGUGAGCUAAAAUACUACAAUACUUGUAACUCCUUUUCACCAGUAAAAUAUUUCCUUCUGUCUUCGCCCGUGGAUGUAGGCUAAAAGCCGAACCACGUAAUUUCUGGUAUCCUCUAUUGUGCUUGUUCUUUAUUGUUUCUACCAAUUUUACUUUAGCUGCGUGUCUGCUUCACCCACCAAUUUCCUAACAGCAAGAUACUAGAUUGUACAUGUAAAUAAGGUAUAAUAUAUCAGAGAUUAUUUUGUUGGAUUUGUCCAUGAAUUUUAUUUUGGGAUUGCCACAUAUAGCACUGGAUGAGAUUCUAUUUUUGUGGUUGUUGAGAGUUUUUCCAAGAUGACAUAUUUUAUUACUUGUAAAAAAGCCUAAUGAUGCUUUUAAUGUGACGAACUUGUUCUUUCAAGAGGUGGUGCCUUUGCAUGAUGUUUCAAAGAUAUAUUACUUCUCUCAGAAAUGUAAAGUUCAUCAGUAAGCUUAGGCGACAUUGGUGGGAUAAGUUUAGUACCAAGUUACAAUUUUGUAGUGCUUUUAAUUUCUAGAUAGAUGGGUAAAUUGAGGUAAUCAAUCGAACUUUAGGGAAUAUAUUGUGCUGUGCUUGCAAUGACAAGCAACACAAUUAAUAGGAAAUAGCAUUGCCUCAUGAUGAGUUUUUUUUACAACAACAUGGUUAAUAGAUAUAUUAAUGGCAAGGCACCUUUGAGAUUGUAUAUACUUAUUUCUCCAUGUUAUGUUUUAAUUUGCAUGAACUAUCAACAGUACCUGGAGGGAGCAAAAUAGCGGACAAUAUGUCAGAAAAGCAAUGUAGAUUCAUAUUGAGGUGCGAGCUCACUUAGAAGCAACUGAUGUGAGUACAAGGUUGAUGUAGACAAGCAUUAGUGCAAGAACAUAUUUUAGGAGGGAGAUUUGGUGAUGACAUAUUUGCGGCGGAAUUAAUUUCCUGGGAUUCAUAUCAAACUGGGGAAGCGAAAGUAUGGAUUAUUUCGUUUGGCGUGGAAGAUUAAUGCUAAUAUUUUCUUGCUACCUUUACAAGAUAAUUGGAACAUUUCUCGAACCUUCAAUAUGUCUAAUCUAUUCAAGUACCAUCCAGAUGAUAAGGAG
rnacentral:lncRNA from 1 species